UGUAAGCGUAUACCAAAGUUGUUGCAGUUAAAACGCUCGUAGUCGGAAUUUGGCAGUUCCGGAUGUGUGCACGUCGUGUGCGCACUUCGCGGGGAUUGCUUUUGUGGUCUUGCGUAGGAUGAGGCACUUUUAUCAGUGAACGUCCUCACGCAACCACUUUUUACUGUGAGAAAAUCAGAGUGCUCAAAGCAGGCAUUUGCCGUGAAUGUAUUAGCAUGGAAUAAUAGAAUAGGACUUGGUUCUAUUUUGUUGGUUUGUUGGGACUGAGUAAUGAUUAAGAGGGACAGUUGGGGGCAUUUGUAUUUCGGUGCUAGAGGUGGAAUUCUUAGAUUACCGAAAGACAAACUGCUGCGAAAGCGUCUGCCAAGGAUGUUUUCAUUGA
rnacentral:rRNA from 1 species